rnacentral:lncRNA from 1 species
ACAAAUUUCAAGGCUGUGGAACCAGGAGAAGGUCUGAGGAACGGAGCUCCCGGAAGUAAAGGCAUUGCCUCACAUUUGAGUGUUGGAAGGGCCUUGAGAGCAGAGGUCUGUUGUUUAACAUCAUCUUCGAGUGUACCCUAGCACGGCGGUCUCGGCUGGAGAGAUUUUCUGUGUGCUGAACUUAGAUGGAUAUGUCAAAGUGUACUCAAGCUUUCUUGAACUUUUUCCCCAUCUGAAAUCACUAAAAAUGUGCAGUAUUUCAAAAAGCCCAAGUUUGCCUCCAAAUAUGCUUGUGAAAUGUAUUUCAACACACAUAUCCAACAGUAAGAACAUGCUGGCCAUAUCAAUCCUCACAGCAACUCUUUAUUGCAGCAUAUUGAGGUUUAAUCAGGAAACAGGUUAGAGCUUCUAUGUACAGGUUUUCUUCUAGUUUGAGGUUUUCCUGAAAUAUGUGACACAGACUCGUUAUACAAAUGGCCACUAGUAAAUUAUUUCCAGCAUGUGUUACUCUGUCAACAGUGAUGCUUUCACAGAACCUUUGUCCUCCACAAUUCCCCCCCUCCAUUUAAACCAGGACAUUUCCAUCUCAGUGAGCCACUGCUGUAUUUGGGACCUAAGCGAGAAGCUGGAUAAACAGAGGCGCUAUUAUUAUUGUUACUGUCAAUAUAGUUUCCUUCCCUAGUUAUAACUGAUUAUUUCCUUUUUUCCAUUUCAAAACAUUUUUGUUCAAAUGCUUCUGAUGGCUCUCGUCACAAGCAAUAUUCCUUCGGAAAUAAUGCACCUUUUUAAUUUCUCAACCUAAAAUACACAGCCCGUCAUCUCCAUAGUAGGAUGAUGCUGUUAGAGAGAUCAGCUGUGUCUAGUUGGAGAAUUUUUAGGGGAAUAAGGGAUUACAGGAGCGAGUGCUUCCUCUAUUAGUUCGUGCAAAGUGAAGACAAGAAAGAAAGUCUGUAGGAUGUAAGAGGUGAUGUUACUCCAGCAAGAGUUGGGCAUUUGGAAACACAUGGAGUUAAAAGCAGUUUUCACUUAAUGUGCUUUGUUGUUUCUGCUACAAUAAAAAUAAAUAAUAAAAAUUC